rnacentral:lncRNA from 1 species
AGAUGUUGAGUUGGGAUGACAUUCACUCCCUUCUCAGAUUUCUUCUUUUUCUUCGAUUCAGCAUCUUUUUUCUCCUCACAAUCAGUCUGUACAGCAGUGGGCAGAACCUGCUCUUUUCGCGGCGCGAAGGUGGUUCGCGGCGCGAACUGAGCAUUUCCAGAAUCAUUUUUCCUCUCACCAACUAUAUCUGUUUCUUCCAGAAUCCCAUCAGUGGUGUUCUCUUCUACAAUUUCUUCACCUUUUUCACUUACCAACGCUUUACCGCUCCUUG